rnacentral:rRNA from 1 species
GACGAACGCUGGCGGCGUGCCUAAUACAUGCAAGUAGGACGCAGUUGCGAACGGGUGAGUAACGCGUAGGUAACUACCUAUUAGAGGGGGAUAACUAUUGGAAACGAUAGCUAAUACCGCAUACUAGUAGAUGGACCUACGUUGUAUUAGCUAGUAGGUAGGGUAACGGCCUCCCUAGGCAACGGUACAUAGCCGACUCGAGAGGGGGAUCGGGCACAUGGGGACUGAGAAACGGCCCAGACUCCGACGGGAGGCAGCAGUAGGGAAUCUUCGGCAAUGGGGGGAACCCGGACCGAGCAACGCCGCGUGAGUGAAGAAGGUUUUCGGAUCGUAAAGCUCUGUUGUUAAGGAAGCGGUACUUAACCAGAAAGGGACGGCUAACUACGUGCCAGCAGCCGCGGUAAUUC